CUACUGUCACGAUUCCACACGCCGCUUUCUGCCCAAGAGAGCAGGCCUCGAAAGAGCACCCCCAUGCUCUCUCCACCCCUCUCGCCCCCCCUCUCUCAGGCCCCUUCUACAUUGCCAUAUAAAACCCCAGGCCCCUUCUACACAGCUGCAUAAAAUCCCACAUUAUCUGCUUUGAACUGGGUUAUAUGGCAGCGUGGACUCCGUGUGAACUGUGAACUUCCACACAGCCAUAUAAUCCAAAAUAUCAAGGCAGAUUUUUUUUUAAUCGUGUCAAAAGCGAAUUGAGAAUAUACUGCAAGUUGCUUCUGGUGUGAGAGAAUCGGCUGUCUACAGAGACGUUACCCAGGGGACGCCCAGAUGUGUUACCAUCCUGUGGGAGGCUUCUCUCAUGUCCUUGCAUGGAAGCUGGGGCUGACAGAGGGGAGCUCACCCCAUCUCGCGGAUUUGAACCGCUGAUCUUCAGGUCAUCAGUUCAGCCAGCACAAGGUGUAAGCAAAUGCUCCACCGCAGCUCCUAUCAAGGCAGAUAAUCCGCAAUAUCUCCUUUGAAAUUGGUUAUCUGCGUCCACACGGUCAUAUAAUCAAGUUUAAGGCAGAUAUUGUGGGAUUUUAUACAGCUGUGUGGAAGGGGCCCCAGUUAAAAGCAGAUACUGUGGAUUAGCUACCUUGAUAUUCUGGGUUUUAUGGCUGUGAUAUAACCUAGAAUAUCAAGGCAGAAUAACCCAUAUCUGCUUUGAACUGGGUUAUCUGUGUCCACACUGCCACAUAAAGGUAAGGGUAAUUUUUUUCCCCUGACAUUAAGUCUAGUCGUGUCCGACUCUGGGGGUUGGUGCUCGUCUCCAUUUCAAAGCCGAAGAGCCAGUGUUGUCCGUAGGCGCCUCCUAGGUCAUGUGGCUGGCAUGACUGCACCUUCCCGUCGAAGCGGUACCUAUUGAUCUACUCACAUUUGCAUGUUUUCAAACUGUAAGGUUGGCAGAACCUGGGGCUAAUAACCGGAGCUCACUCCGCUCCCCGGAUUCGAACCGCCAACCUUUUAGUCAGCAAGUUCAGCAGCUCAAUGGUUUAAUCCGCUGCGCCACUGAGGGCUCCACACUGCCAUAUAUUCUAGUUCAAAGCAGAAAAUGUGGGAUUUUAUUCAGAUGUGUGAAAGGGGUCAUAGAUGCCUGGAGUACAUUUGAAAAAAAAGAGAGAAAGCCGUCAUAUGAAAGCUUGAGCUGCAAACUUCUUUCUCUCAGCCUAAGGGCUACCAGGUCCCUUAACAUUGGUUGGCGUUGCAAUGAGCACCAUUUAGGGCCCUUCCACACAGCCAUAUAACCCUGAAUAUCAAGGCAGAAAGGUCUGCAAUAUCUGCUUUGAACUGGGUCAUCUGAGUCCACAUAUUCCAGUUCAAAGCAGAAAAUGUGGGAUUUUAUUUGGCUUUGUGGAAAGGGCCCUAGAGUGUGGAGAUACCCCAAGAGGCGAUCCAGCCCAACUACCUUUUGCCAGGACCAGGGCCCUGCAAGGGGGCUCAUAUGUCUUUGGGGCAGAAUUCUCUUUUUUUAGCUGGAUCUGCCCCCAAAGCAUGUCCUAGAAGCACACUUUGAGAGCCGCUGUACUAGCAUAUAUGCUUGGGUGUUGCCUACUUUCUCCCUUCUCCAGCUCUGAGAAGGUCUCCCUUACAAUGUCUCCAUGGCAACUCUAUUUGGACCAACUAGAUUAUAUGAUUCUCCACUGCCAGAUAAUCUGGGAUAGGCAGAUACUCUGGGAUCAGAUCCUGGGAUAUAUGACAGUAUGGCAGGUGCCCCAGUUACAUCACAAGUAGUCACUUCAUCUAGCCACAGCCAAUAUGCUUUGUUCUUUUUCUUUCCCCCUGCUCUGGGCCCAAAAGGGGUGAGUUUUUCCCCCCGCUCAAACCCCUCAUGUAUUUUUGGUCGGACAAUGAAGGGCACAUGCGCCUACUUUGGUCCAGAUACAUCAAACCAUAUAGGAGCCUUUCUGGUGCAGACCAACAUAUAUACAUAUUUGUCUUUUAUAGAGAGAGAUUUUAAGCUUUUCAGAUAUAAAUUUUACCCAUCUUCUAAUUUAAAUUGUAAGCUGUCGUGGAUCUGUAGUGAGCACAAGUUGAAGUAUUAACAACAACGUUCCAGUAAAUACAUUUACACAAUUCUAGCCAUUGUUUUAUUGACACUAAACAUGUAUAGUACCAACCUCUGUACAUGACAUUCAUUGACCUUGCAAAGGCAUUCGACAAAGUGAAUCGCAGCACUCUCUGGACCAUCCUCCAAAAAAUCGGGUGCCCUGACAAAUUUGUGAACAUCCUUCGGCUCCUCCAUGAUGACAUGAUGGCAACAGUCUUGGACAGCAACGGCUCCCAAAGUGACCCAUUUAAGGUGGAAUCAGGUAUCAAGCAGGGAUGUGUUAUUGCCCCUACCUUAUUUUCCAUCUUCAUCGCUAUGAUACUUUACCUUGUUGAUGGGAAGCUUCCCACCAGAGUGGAAAUCAUCUAUCGGACAGAUGGCAAGCUAUUUAACCUCAGCAGAUUGAGAGCCAAAACCAAGGUCACCACAACAUCUAUUAUAGAACUCUAAUAUGCCGAUGACAACGUAGUCUGUGCGCAUUCAGAAGAAGACCUACAAGCCACUCUAAACACCUUUGCAGAAGCAUACGAGAAGCUCGGCCUCUCACUGAACAUCGAGAAAACCAAAGUGCUCUUCCAACAGGCACCAGCUAAUCCCUCUGCAAUGCCAGGAAUACAGCUUAAUGGUGUAACAUUAGAAAAUGUUGACCAUUUCCACUACCUUGGCAGCCACCUCUCCACAAAAGUCAAAAUUGACACUGAAAUACAACACCGCCUGACCUCUGCGAGUGCAGCAUUUUUCCAAAUGAAGCAGAGAGUGUUUGAUGAUCGGGACAUCCGUAGAGAUACCGAAGUGCUCGUUUAUAAAGCCAUUGUCCUACCAACCCUGCUCUAUGUCUGCGAAACGUGGACAGUCUACAGAUGCCACACUCAACUCCUGGAGCGUUUCCAUCAGCGUUGCCUCAGAAAAAUCCUACAAAUCUCUUGGGAAGACAGGCGGACAAAUGUCAGCGUGCUUGAGGAAGCAAAGACCACCAGAAUUGAAGUGAUGCUCCUACACCAUCAACUCCGCUGGACUGGCCACGUUGUCCGAAUGCCCGAUCACUGUCUCCCAAAGCAGCUACUCUACUCCGAACUCAAGAACCGGAAAUGUAAUGUUGGUGGGCAGGAAAAGAGAUUUAAAGAUGGGCUUAAAGCCAACCUUAAAAACUGUGGCAUAGACACAGAACUGGGAAGCCGUGUCCCUUGAGCACUCUAAUUGGAGGUCAGCUGUGACCAGCAGUGCUGCGGAGUUCGAAGAGGCACGAAUGGAGGGCUUAAGGGAGAAACUUGCCAAGAGGAAGGAGCGUCAAGCCAACCCUGACUGGGACCGCCUUCCACCUGGAAACCAAUGUCCUCACUACGGUAGAACAUGCGGGUCAAGAAUACGUCUCUUCAGCCACCUACAGACCCACCCCCAAGACACUAGAAAUGGAAGAAUCGUCCUCGACCUACGAGGGAUCGCCUAAGUAAAGUUCCAGAAGAACUAUGGACAGAAGUCCACAACAUUGUUCAGGAGGCACCAACAAAGUACGUCCCAAAGAAAAAGAAAACCAAGAAGGCAACAUGGUUGUCUGCUGAGACACUGGAAGUAGCCCAAGAAAGAAGGAAGGCGAAAGGAAACAGCAAUAAGGGGAGAUAUGCACAAUUAAACACACAAUUCCAGAGGCUAGCCAGAAGAGACAAAGAACUAUUGUUAAACAAGCAAUGCAUGGAAGUGGAAGAAGACAACAGAAUAGGAAAUACAAGAGACCUCUUCCAGAAAAUCAGAAACAUCGGAGGCAAAUUUCAGGCAAAAAUGGGCAUGAUCAAAAACAAAGAGGGCAGGGACCUAACAGAAGCUGAAGAGAUCAAGAAAAGGUGGCGAGAAUAUACAGAAGAUCUGUAUAGGAAGGAUAAUAAUAUAUAGCUUUGAUGGUGUGGUGAGUGAAUUACAACCAGACAUCCUGAGGAGUGAGGUUGAAUGGGCCUUAAGAAGCAUUGCUAAUAAUAAGGCAGUAGGAAACAACGGUGUCCCAGCUGAGUUGUUUAAAAUCUUGGAAGGUGAUACUGUCAAGGUGAUGUAUGCCAUAUGCCAGCAAAUAUGAAAAACACAAGAUUGGCCAUCAGAUUGGAAAAAAUCAAUUUAUAUCCCCAUACCCAAAAAAAGGAAACGCUAAAGAAUGCUCAAACUUCCGUACAGUGGCACUUAUUUCCCAUGCCAGUAAGGUAAUGCUCAAGAUCCUGCAAAGCAGACUCCAGCAAUACAUGGAGCGAGAGUUGCCAGAUAUCCAAGCUGGGUUCAGAAAAGGCAGAGGAACCAGAGACCAAAUUGCCAAUAUCCGCUGGAUAAUGGAGGAAGCCAGGGAGUUCCAGAAAAACAUCUACUUCUGCUUUAUUGACUAUUCUAAAGCCUUUGACUGUGUGGAUCAUAAUAAACUAUGGCAUGUUCUUGGUGGUAUGGGGAUACCAAGUCACCUUGUCUGUCUCCUGAGAAAUCUGUAUAAAGACCAAGUAGCCACAGUAAGAACAGACCACGGAACAACAGACUGAUUCAAGAUUGGGAAAGGAGUGCGGCAGGGCUGCAAACUUUCACCCUCCCUAUUCAACUUGUACGCAGAACACAUUAUGCAACGUCCGGGGCUUGACGAUUCCAAGGCCGGAGUUAAAAUUGCUGGAAGAAACAUUAACAAUCUUAGGUAUGCAGAUUAUACCACUCUGAUGGCCAAAAGUAAGGAAGAGCUGAGGAGCCUUAUCACCAAGGUGAAAGAAGAAAGUGCAAAAGCUGGGUUGCAGUUAAACAUCAAGAAAACCGAGAUCAUGGGAACUACACCUAUUGAUAACUGGCAAAUAGAAGGAGAAAGCAUGGAGGCAGUGACAGACUUUAUAUUUCUAGGCGCGAAGAUCACUGCAGAUGCAGACUGCAGCCAGGAAAUCAGAAGACGUUUACUUCUUGGGAGGAGAGCAAUGGCCAACCUCGAUAAAAUAGUGAAAAGCAGAGACAUCACACUGGCAGCAAAGGUCCGCAUAGUUAAAGCAAUGGUAUUCCCAUAGUAACCUAUGGCUGCGAGAGGUGGACCCUAAGGAAGGCUGAGCGAAGGAGGAUAAACGCUUUUGAACUCUGGUGCUGGAGGAAAAUCCUGAGAGUGCCUUGGACCGCAAGAAGAUCCAACCAGUCCAUUCUCCAGGAAAUAAUGCCCGGCUGCUCACUGGAGGGAAGGAUAUUAGAGGCAAAGUUGAAGUAUUUUGGCCACAUCAUGAGGAGACAGGAAAGCUUGGAAAAGAUCAUGAUGCUGGGGAAAAUGGAAGGAAAAAGGAAGAGAGGCCGACCAAGGGCGAGAUGGAUGGACGGUAUCCUUGAAGUGACUGGCUUGACCUUGAAGGAACUGGGGGCGGCGACGGCCGAUAGGGAGCUCUGGCCUGGACUGGGCCAUGAGAUCAGGAAGAGUCGGAAACGACUAUGCGACAGAGAGAGAGAGGGAGAAAUGAUAUUCACAUUAGCAAAAAACACAGGAAGGAAAGAAGUUUUCUCUAUUGGUUCAUGUUAAGGAAACACUAAAUUGGGUAGACAGUGAAUGUGUUGUUACCUAAUGAGGAAGGAGGUCUGAGAUGGGUUGGUAUCUAGCAUACUCAAUAGUGAGGAUUGCUAGAAGUUGCAGCUCAGCAUAAUAUGGAGGGCUUUGUCUGUCCUAAGGCAACAUGAAGCAACAUGCCAGUAGGCCCUUCACACUAUGGAAUUACAGUGCUGUUAUUCCACUUUAACUGUGAUAGUUCAAUGGUAUGGAAUCCUGCCAAUUGCAGUUUAGGAAAUUGUGACAGAGAACUCUAGUGCCUCAUGAAACUACAAAGCCGAGUUGGAGCCAGGGCAAUUAAAGGGGACCCAUAACACUAUAAUUCUGUAACAUGAAUGGGCUCCAGCUUUCCUUACACUUAAGUCUGACUACUAACUUCAUCUGCAUUAGUGGUCGCAGGAAUGUAGGUGACAACACCAAAAGAUUGGUUGAACUUCACUAGUUCAUUUUGGUAGGUUUUUUAAAAAGCCUUAAUUGGCUUGUUUAUCUCUGGACAUAAUUCCAGGAAAUGGAACAGAAUGCCAGAAAACCAUCUGUUAUCCUAUAACAAGGGUAUUCCUUAAUAUUGUCAAAAUAUUGGUAGGAAAUGUGAAGGCACCCCAACACAACGACGAUGAUGACUAUGACAACAACAAAGCCCACAUUCUUUUAUCUGUUUUUUUUUAAUCUUUAAAAAAUCUAUUCUGAGUCCCCCAAAUUAGUCCCAACACCUCCUGAAAAUGGCUAGAAGUGAUGGAAUUAUAUUUCUGGUUAUCCAAAAUGGUGGCCAUGGCACAGUUACAGAGGAGUCAAAAUACUUACACACACCCCACACACCCCACACACACACACACACACACCUGCCUGGAACAUGCCCCCCCCCAACUUCACCCAUUCUUUUUUUUUUUUAAGUUAGGAGAUAGUGCUAUGAUCUAAUAACCUGCUGAUGGAAAUCUCCCCAGGAACAUUCAAGUGAACAGUAAUUAUCAUCUCUCUUUGUUUUGUUUCAACAUACACACACAAUGUAUAUACACAGAAUAUAGAAGGAGAAAAUCACAGUACUGUAAUUCUUUCUUUCAGUUGAAACAUUUAUAAUGGGAUCUCAAUGUGUGGCUGUCUGCUUUCAUUAUCUUUAAUGUUCUUACUGCUGUUUACUGCUUUUUCUGCUUAUUACGUUUCUUUCUGAUGCUGCUUUUUUGCAAUUUUUAUGUUUUUCUUCAUUAUUUUAGUUUGAUUCCUUAUUAUUAGCUUUUCUGUAAACAUUCAUUUAGAAAGCUGGAACAGAAAUGAUUCCAUGUAAUAUAUAAAUAACAUAAAUUGCUUUGACAGUUGCACUGAGGGGAGUAUGAAUUCAAAAUGUUCUGCUCCUGGGCCAUGAGACAAAUAUGCAUCAAUUAACACAAAAACUCGAGAUGCCUUUAUGUCCUAGAAGGUACAGUUUAUAUGCCACAUUUGUGGUGCAUACAUAGUCACCCAAGUGGUUUAAAGGGGGCAUUUAUAGUCAGCUUUGGAAGUUCGGGAGAUAUUUUCUCUAUUUAGAGAGUCUGAAAAGAAAUUAAAUAAAUUGUACAUUACAUUGCAUGACAUAACAAUGCUCAAAAGUCCAGAAAAUAAGCACCAUCAAUACAUUGCUUCUUAAAAGAACAGUCAAACCCUCACAUUUGCUGGGAUUAGGAGCACAGGACCACUAUGAAAGUGAAAAACUGCAAAUAAAAAUAGUUAUUACCACCAAAGAUAAUACUUCUCUAGGAUUCUGGAUCCUCCAGCAUGGUUCUAUGGUCGACUUCAGCCAGAUAGCCAUGAGAUUUAUAGAGAAGUUGACCACAGAAGGAUCUAGAAGGAGCAUUUUAAUCAAAUCCGCAAAAGUUAAAUUCACAAAUGUGAAAGGCCGAUUAUCAGCUACAUUUAAACAGUAGGAUUUCAAACUCUACAGCAAGCCCACACAUUUUUUAAAAAACAAAAAGACUGUCACGAAAUCCUUAAAUUACUUAAAGGAAGCCAGUUUCUCUAAAAUAGUUGUAGGUGGCAAUUCUGAGCAGCCUUUUUAUCAGAUUGCACUGUUAACCUCUGAUAUGGCAAUUGCAUUCUCUCCUUUAGCAGUGGAAAACAAGUGGUCCUCCAGAUGCUGUUGAAUAACAAAUCCCAGCAGUACACCAUAGUCCAUGAAAAAAAACUUUAUCAAAUACUGGGAGCCACAAUCCAUCAACAGGAGAGUCACAUGAUUUCCAUCACUAGUCUAUAGGAAUAUGGAAACUGUGAACACAUAAGAGAUAAUGUCACAAUCCUGACUGAUGCACACAUAUAGGUCUGUCCUGACCCUUGGUUUGUCAUCCCAGACUCAAAUGGAUACCAACAUUUGAGUCAUGGAUGACAUUUGUUUAUAUAGAGAAUUUCCUUAAUAUUUGUUUAUACAUCUUAGGUAGUGAUGAUGGUAAUGGAGAUAUACAUAUACUUCCCUCCCCAUUAGCUUACAAUAUCAGAAGAAAAAUCCAUGGAGAAAAGCUACAGCUACUUCAUCCAUACAUCUGUCUUGAUCUUAAAAUCACCCCACACCUACUCUAUACAUGAUUAGAUAAUCUCUAGGUUGAAACCCAGGAUCGUCAAUUCCCAUACCAAAGAACCAUAUUUAUUUUAAAAAUAAAAUCUUGUAAUGACUAUGUAUAAACUUAUCCUUACUUAACAUGAUGGAUUUAGCUGUUUUACUGAAUACAGUACACUUUAAUGAAAAAAUGAGGAAAAAUGUUGAUUUCUUUCUUUAUUCUUAUUUACCAAUGCCUUGAAUAUACAUGCAACUUAUUGCUUAGACAUUAUUGCAGUUACCUGACAAAAUCAGCCUACAUAAAGAUAUACAGAGAGAAAGGUUUUCAAAUAUUGGUGAAGCAUAAAUUCGUUUCAAUUACUCUUGUUACAAACAAUAUUAAAGAAUAACCUAACAGAGGGGAACUUCUUACUAAAGUUAGAAAAUGGCUCAACCACUGUAAUCAACAGUACUGCCCCAACUUCUUGUGCCAUUAUCACCAGAGGGUAUCAACUUAGUACUGUUGCAUGCUUUUGAUUCAGCGUAUUAAGAUUCACAGUUAACAUCUUCAUUCCUUGCAUUGUUUUCAUCAAACUUUGUGCUUAGAUUUAAUCAGGCCUCUUAUCUUGGAAUCUGUUGUACCACUUUUUAAGACGGACUUCACAAGUCAGCAGGGCAUCCCAUUGUACUCAUUUUAUUUUUGUGAACUGAAAUAAAAUCUUUUAAAAGCUAAGGUUGAUGAUGCAGAAUAUAUGCUGCCUGGUAUACUUGGUAUCUUAUUAAACAUGCAUUUGAAAGGAAUAAGAUGUGUUUGGAUCACAUUU